AGAGUUUGAUCCUGGCUCAGAUUGAACGCUGGCGGAAUGCUUUACACAUGCAAGUCGAACGGCAGCACGGGAGCUUGCUCCUGGUGGCGAGUGGCGAACGGGGGAGUAACAUAUCGGAACAUAUCCUAUCGUGGGGGAUAACUAGUCGAAAGACUAGCUAAUACCGCAUACGUCCUGAGGGAGAAAGCGGGGGCUCGCAAGACCUCGCGCGAUUGGAGUGGCCGAUAUCUGAUUAGCUAGAUGGUGAGGUAAAAGCUCACCAUGGCGACGAUCAGUAGCUGGUCUGAGAGGAUGAUCAGCCACACUGGGACUGAGACACGGCCCAGACUCCUACGGGAGGCAGCAGUGGGGAAUUUUGGACAAUGGGCGAAAGCCUGAUCCAGCCAUUCCGCGUGAGUGAAGAAGGCCUUCGGG
rnacentral:rRNA from 1 species